UACAGAGGUCUCAAGCGUUGUUCGGAUUCAUUGGGCGUAAAGGGUGCGUAGGCGGCGCGGUAAGUCGGGUGUGAAAUCUUGGAGCUUAACUCCGAAACUCGCAUUCGAUACUGCCGUGCUUGAGGACUGGAGAGGAGACUGGAAUUUACGGUGUAGCGGUGAAAUGCGUAGAUAUCGUAAGGAAGACCAGUGGCGAAGGCGGGUCUCUGGACAGUUCCUGACGCUGAGGCACGAAGGCCAGGGGAGCAAACGGG
rnacentral:rRNA from 1 species